rnacentral:tRNA from 1 species
AUUGAGAUGGCGCAGCGGAAGCGUGCGGGGCUCAUAACCCCGAGGUCGUAGGAUCGAAACCUGGUCUCGAUA